rnacentral:rRNA from 1 species
GACGAACGCUGGCGGCGUGCCUAAUACAUGCAAGUAGAACGCAGUUGCGAACGGGUGAGUAACGCGUAGGUAACUGCCUCAUAGCGGGGGAUAACUAUUGGAAACGAUAGCUAAUACCGCAUACUGUGAGAUGGACCUGCGUUGUAUUAGCUAUUUGGUGAGGUAAAGGAGCAACAAGGCGACGAUACAUUGCCGACCUGAGAUGGUGAACGGCUACACUGAGCGGGAGACCCGGCCCAAACUCCUACGGGAGGCAGCAGAAGGGAAUCUGCGGCAAUGGACGGAAGUCUGACCGAGCAACGCAGCGUGAGUGAAGAAGGUUUUCGCAUCGUAAAGCUCUGUUGUCAGAGAAGCGGUCACUAACCAGAAAGGGACGGCUAACUACGUGCCAGCCGCCGCGGUAAUUC